rnacentral:snoRNA from 1 species
ACUACGCUGAUGAUUGAUUUCGUUGCUGGAGAUAUAUCGAUGAAGGCACAAUUUAAAGACUACAACGGUAUCUGAGU